UCUACAUGUUGGUGGCCACAUUAAUCUGACAUCUGACAGCAAGAGCGAUGAUUGGGUUCACUGGAAAUCUUCAUGAAGUACGAGUGAAGUCCUUGUGAAGUCAGAGUUUCCUCUUCAUGCCUCUACUCCUAUGCAGUUUGACCUCUCAGUGUGCAGCUGGUGAUAGAUGGAAACCCUUGUUCAUAAGCUUUGUGGCACUGUCGGCAGGAUGAGGGGACUUCUGGAUCCUCACUGGUCACUGUGGCAGAGUGGUUGGUGUUGUCUGCUCCCUAGACAGGAACCCACUGAAGAAUCUGACAUUUUUUGAUAUGCUGGCAUUCAUUGUUACAGCCCAUCAACCCAGCCAUCAAUCCAGGACAUGGGGUCCGUGCCCACGGUGGGAAGGAGGAGGAGGAAGCUGGCUUUGUUCUGACCUUAGGCUUCUGCUCCACCAGUACUUUCUGUGGGGGAAAUAGGUAAAGAAAUGGCUGUUCAGAUGAGAAGAUGUGUCAGUAAACUUUUGCUACAGUGAUGCUGCAAAACAAAUCACUGGUGACUUUCAGUGGCACACAGCAAUAAACAUUUAUUUAGCUCAGGGAUUGACAAUCUUUUUUUUUUUUUUAAAGGGCCAAAUAGUAAAUAUUUUAGGUGUUUCAGGCCAUACAGUCUCUGAACUCUGAACUUGUAGCACAACAGUAGCCUUAGAUGCUAUGCAAAUGGAGGAGCAUGACUGUGUUCCAAUAAAACUUUAUUUAUGGACACUAAAAUUG
rnacentral:lncRNA from 1 species